CUUUGUUAAUGAAACGUAGAAGGUUAAGUUGUAUCACCUUUAUCAAGCAGCAUGAGUGAAGUUCAUCAUUACACUCUUUAAGUAAAAAUAAUAUGACAGCAGACCAGUGGCAGUUGUAUGAUAGGUAAAAAUAGCAGGGAUCCGCUUGCAUCCUGACCUCUUCAAGAUAAUCAUGGAUCUUCUAGCUGCAAACAUCCCACCACAUGCUUGUACUGGCAUUAUUGAAGGAGCUCAAGGGGAAGGUGCCCUACCAAAGUGAUUGUCUGAAUGAUAAUCACGCAAGUGAUAGUAGUAGAUGAAAUAAAACUAUUGUCAGUCGUGAUAGUCUGUCUAAUGUAAAAUUGUUCUUUUGCUGCUAUUUCUUAGCUGCACAAGAUGUUAAUGGAAACUUGGUUAUUUAGUAUCAGGGGAGUGGUGUCAGUUUCAUGUGCUAUUAGUAUUUGUGACGUGUAAAUCAGUGAAUUAAUCCUUAUGAUAAAGAUAUUUAUUUUGUGACAUUUUCUUUUUGUUAUGAAUUAUUUGAUCAUAAAAAAUAAUUUGGCAUCUUAGGGUAUGAGACUAUCAAAGAUGUAUUUUAAGAAGCAGGUGGCUUUUCUACAGCUUAUGAAACUCCACACUGAAAUAAACAUGCCCUUAAUAUUUAUUAGUUGGAUCAAGAUACCUCACAGGUACAGGAAUCUACGUACAAUACUGAAGUUUUAGUUUCAGACCUAGUGGAAACUCAUUUUAAAGAAUCUCAUUGUGCUUGGAAAGAAUUUUUGUGUACAGUACCUUUAAAACUUUUGUAUUUUUGAAACACUGUUUAAAAUCUUCAGCAGCAGUACCUAUUGCCAAUUGUCAUAUGUAGUUAUUUACUGGUACAGUAUUCUAAGCACUUGUUCUUGAAACAAUGUGUAGUUUUUAUGAAGCGAUGUUUUGUAAAUUAGUUGAAAAAACUCGUAUGUAUAAAUUGUUUCUUUACCUUUAGUGAUUCAAAGUGAUUAUACAGUUGUAAAUUAGUUGAAAAAUCUCUCAUAUGUAUAACUUGUUUCUUUACCUUUAGUGAUUCAAAGGGAUUUUGCAGAUGUAAAGAUAGUAUAGUAUGUAAUAUGUUGAUGUAUUAUUCGUUUUUUAAUUUGUAAAGAUUUGAAAAAUUAUGCAUACCAUUUAUGUAUUGAUGUUGGACAACAUUUGGAUGACAUCUAUAGAGUGAGGGAUGAUUCAAGUUUAUCUCCCACAAAACAAGGUGCUUCAAAGUGAAUUAUUCAAUAAAAACAAAAAAUAUAUAAACAGUG